UAGAGUUUGAUCCUGGCUCAGAUUGAACGCUGGCGGCAGGCUUAACACAUGCAAGUCGAGCGGUAACAGGAAUAGCUUGCUAUUUGCUGACGAGCGGCGGACGGGUGAGUAAUGCUUGGGAAUAUGCCUUAUGGUGGGGGACAACAGUUGGAAACGACUGCUAAUACCGCAUAAUGUCUACGGACCAAAGGGGGGGAUCUUCGGACCUCUCGCCAUUUGAUUAGCCCAAGUGAUAUUAGCUAGUUGGUAAGGUAAUGGCUUACCAAGGCGACGAUCUCUAGCUGGUUUGAGAGGAUGAUCAGCCACACUGGGACUGAGACACGGCCCAGACUCCUACGGGAGGCAGCAGUGGGGAAUAUUGCACAAUGGGGGGAACCCUGAUGCAGCCAUGCCGCGUGUGUGAAGAAGGCCUUCGGGUUGUAAAGCACUUUCAGUUGUGAGGAAAGGUGUGUAGUUAAUAGCUGCAUACUGUGACGUUAACAACAGAAGAAGCACCGGCUAACUUCGUGCCAGCAGCCGCGGUAAUACGAGGGGUGCAAGCGUUAAUCGGAAUUACUGGGCGUAAAGCGAGCGUAGGCGGCUGAAUAAGCUGGAUGUGAAAAACCGGGGCUCAACCUCGGCCGUGCAUUCAGAACUGUUUAGCUAGAGUCCUGUAGAGGGGGGUAGAAUUUCA
rnacentral:rRNA from 1 species